rnacentral:sRNA from 1 species
UAUUUACAGAUAAAACACUUUCCAAUACCAAAGACAAUAUCAUUUUGAAGAUACUCGCUAUAGGGAACACAACACAACAAAUUACUAUAUGGUCCGCAGCAUAUAGUAGUAAAAACUAUUUCAUGGUCUUCUACCUAAUAUUGAGUUCAAAGUCAAAUUGUUCGCAAUUUCGUUUGGAAUUGGGUUUUUUUGUUCGGAGAGGUAAGUUUAUAAUUUUGUUCAUUUUGGAAGUAAAUUAUGUUAUACCAUGCAUUUUAAAUAUAUAUGUGUAUAGAGACAACACCGUUAUAAACGAUUGCUUGUUUCAUAUCCUCGUUGAAGAUAUAGAUUUCGUGCUUUUACGUUCAAAACAAUUUACAACAAAAGAUGAAUUUAUCUCAAACGAAAAUGUGUGCUUAUGGUAUAGUUCGGACUAUAUUUUAUAACUUUAAAAUGCUUAUUGAUUCAGAAUUUAAAGACAUUUCUCGGUCCAAAAUAAAGUAGUCGGUAGGUCUUACCGUUAGCAACA